rnacentral:rRNA from 1 species
UACGUAGGGGGCUAGCGUUGUCCGGAUUUAUUGGGCGUAAAGAGCGUGUAGGCGGCCAGGUAGGUCCGUUGUGAAAACUCGAGGCUCAACCUCGAGACGCCGAUGGAAACCAUCUGGCUAGAGUCCGGAAGAGGAGAGUGGAAUUCCCGGUGUAGCGGUGAAAUGCGCAGAUAUCGGGAAGAACACCCGUGGCUAAGGCGGCUCUCUAGUACGGUACUGACGCUGAGACGGCGAAAAGCGUGGGGAGCCGAACGAGG